rnacentral:rRNA from 1 species
GACGAACGCUGGCGGCGUGCUUAACACAUGCAAGUCGAACGGAAAGGCCCUGCUUUUGUGGGGUGCUCGAGUGGCGAACGGGUGAGUAACACGUGAGUAACCUGCCCUUGACUUUGGGAUAACUUCAGGAAACUGGGGCUAAUACCGGAUAGGAGCUCCUGCUGCAUGGUGGGGGUUGGAAAGUUUCGGCGGUUGGGGAUGGACUCGCGGCUUAUCAGCUUGUUGGUGGGGUAGUGGCUUACCAAGGCUGUGACGGGUAGCCGGCCUGAGAGGGGUGCCGGCCACAAUGGGACUGAGGUACGGCCCAGACUCCUACGGGGGGCAGUAGGGGGGAAUAUUGCACAAUGGGGCGAAGCCUGAGACAACAACGCCGGGUGCGGGAUGACGGCCUUCGGGUUAUAAACCGCUUUCGCCUGUGACGAAGAGUGAGUGACGGUAAUGGGUAAAGAAGCACCGGCUAACUACGUG